UCUUCAGUGAUGAUUUAGUACAGUGACUUUCGUUCUUCUGAUUUGGCUGAAGCCAGUUUCUGUUCUGAGAAGA